UUGUAUCUUCUUUGUCUUUGUAGGCAGCAGAAGGUGUCACCUUCAUCGGACCUGACACGCAUGCUAUUCAAGCUAUGGGAGACAAGAUUGAAAGCAAAUUGUUAGCCAAGAAUGCAAAGGUCAACACAAUCCCUGGCUUUGAUGGAGUAGUCAAGGAUGCAGAUGAAGCUGUCAGAAUUGCAAGGGAAAUUGGCUACCCUGUCAUGAUCAAGGCCUCAGCAGGUGGUGGUGGGAAAGGCAUGCGAAUCGCUUGGGAUGAUGAAGAGACCAGGUGAGAUGCUGUCCAAAAACUUGCCUUGAUGAAUGCUGCAGUUACUGAAGUCCCAUAAAGCCACCGUGAGCUGACAGUUGAGCAGAUAUGAAAUGUUAAACAGAAACUGGAUAGUACUUGUUUUUCUCCUUUUGGUAGAGUGAGUGGUGUAUUUUGGUACUUUGCGUGUGUGCAUUUUAAAUUUAUUUUUGCUUAAACCUUGAAACAUUAUUUUGAGUAAAAAUGCAGCCCUUGCAACUGCCUUUUUAAUCCACUGUCAGACUGUAAAUUUGCACUGUAAAUAAUAUUUUGCUGUAUGCUUUCCAGAAUGCUGAUGUAUUAAUUGUCUUUGUGUUAAGUAGAAUGUUUAUUGGCCCUGCUUCUCAAACAUUAAUGUGAGCCAUUAGCUCUGUUAAAGUUGAUGAGGCUGAUUAUUCAUGUUUGGAAACAGUGUUUCCAGAAUGUGCUCCAGUAGCAUAAUUUUGUGUUUAAAAUAUUUGUCUCUGCAAAAUGUUGUGCUUUUGCCUGUUUGAAACUGAAUAUUUGUUUAAACACACACUUUCAUAUGUUUUAAUGCUUUUCUGAAUCCUUAACCCUUCAGAAUAGUCAUUACUGAUUGGAUAUGUUUUAUGAUCUAUUCUCCUCUGAUGUUAUGACAGUGAAGAGCCUGAUUUCAACCCGUUAUGCCACUGUUACAAAAGACUCAUUGUAGGAUUUUUCAAAGAUAUGUAAUAAAAAAGCCUGUUUAAUCUAAAAGGGGGUAACUUUCUAAAUGUUUUCCUUUCCACAUGGUGAAAUGAGCUUGAAGUAUAAUUGGAGUUUCCAUUCGUUUAAUUGUUAGUUGUCUGUAUAAUUUCUCUGGCAUUUUUUCUUUGUUCUCUAUUCAGUUUUUUUUGUUGUUGGUCCUGUCUCAAAACCUGAAAACAGAGAUAAAGCUUAGUCACGUUAGCUUUAUUUUUACAGUGUAAUUUUAUAGGGUAGUAUUAAAGUGCAAUGAAAACACAUACACGGAGUUGCAGAUCAACAGUAGUCACUGAUCUUAUAUCAAGUAGAAAUGCUUGUUUUAACAGUUAAAGGUAGGCGGUGAUGAAAGCAAAAUGUAUGUGGCAAAAUACUUGUUUCAGAAAGUUGAUUAAGAGAGCUGAUGAUAGAAAAAUCUUAUUUACGUGUGAAAUAGAACAUUUGAAGAAAUACAUGGGGUUUUAAAUGGUUUGUUCUAUAUGUCCAUUCAUUGCUUUAUAAAAUUAAGAUUUUUCCUUUCCAUGUAAAUGAAGAGGAGCAUCUGACUGAGUGUUUUGAAGGUGACUCAAGUUAUCAGUGGCAGAAUAAUGUUAUCAGACAGCUGUAAUGCAUAUAAAGUUGUUGACAUUUUCUUUCUGAAUCAAAAUCCAUGUGAUCUU